UGAAUUGAUUAAUUUAAUGAGACCAUAUUUGAGUGUAACGUCAAAAAGGUAAGAUAAAUUUUAACCAUAAAAGUACUCGUUAUUACAACUUAUAUUUGUUUAUAGCAAUAGCAAAAUUAUACCUAAUUUUUGUUGUGUUACAAAAUCACACUCAACAGGAAUUCUAUAAUACUGCUGGAUUCCCAUGGUGCCCUAAAUGACAUUCAUAUACUAAUACAAUAACCUGGUAGGCUAUUUACCUUCAUUCUUAUUACACACUGAUACCUCUACAUUUUAUAUUUGUGUUACAGAUUCAAAUAUAGGAGAGGAAUUUAGAAAUAGAAAAAGAGUAUUUUGAAUGUGUAAUUUGUGUGCAAUGCAUCAUUGAUGUUUCAAAAAGUUGUUGCUUGAUGGCCUGGGUCUACUCAUGAUACAACUAUAAUUAACCAUUCCGAUUGAAAAGAUGCAUUGGUGUUUGUAAAAGAAGACUCCCUGUAUAUCAUUGAAAAGUAGAUUAAAACUAGAAAAUAUGCAAGCUGUUAUUAUAGCCAUGCUGCAUAAUAUCGUCAGAAGUAUGAAUUUAGAAGAAUUAGAAUCAGAAAUUUCAGUCGCAGAUACAUUACAGGAAAAUAAUAUCAUUGUUCGUAACAAUUUUUCAAAACUUACAUCUGAAAUACAACUAUGUACUUAUAAAUAAUUGCUUCCAAAGAUAAUUUAUAAAAUAAACUCCAAAGAUAA